rnacentral:lncRNA from 1 species
UCAAGGACAAACAGCUGCACAAUGGCAGAAACAGAAGCUCAGCCCAUUUUCCAUGACUCCAAAGUCCUACAGGUCAAGCUAUCCUCCCUCAGUCUUCCUUUAAAUCCAUGAUAUGGGUGGCCAUGAGAGAAUUGAGGAGGACACUGAUUGAUGGAUGGAGCAGGAACAGUAAGGACAAGACUACGAUGACAG